rnacentral:rRNA from 1 species
UACGGAGGGUGCGAGCGUUGUCCGGAAUCACUGGGCGUAAAGGGCGCGUAGGCGGCCCGGUAAGUAGGGGGUGAAAUCUUGCGGCUCAACCGCAAGGCUGCCUUCUAAACUGCCAGGCUCGAGCACAGUAGAGGCAGGUGGAAUUCCCGGUGUAGCGGUGGAAUGCGUAGAGAUCGGGAAGAACAUCGGUGGCGAAGGCGGUCUGCUGGGCAGUGGCUGACACUGAGGCGCGACAGCGUGGGGAGCAAACAGG